CAGUAGCCACGGGAAUACGAAGGGUGCAAACGUUGCUCGGAAUUAUUGGGCGUAAAGCGCACGUAGGCGGCUCCGCAAGUCGGAUGUGAAAUCCCUCGGCUUAACCAAGGAAGUGCAUCCGAAACUGCAGAGCUUGAGUACUUAAGAGGAUCGCGGAAUUCCCGGUGUAGAGGUGAAAUGCGUAGAUAUAUGGAGGAACACCGGUGGCGAAAGCGGCUCUCUGGCUUGUAACUGACGCUGAGGCUCGAAAGCGUGGGAGCAAACAGGAUUAGAGACCCCGGUAGUCCCUGUCUCUUAUACA
rnacentral:rRNA from 1 species